CCAGACUGUAAGAGAGGAGCAGACACAGACACUUGAGAGGAUUUGAGCUUUUAAGAUGGAGUCUGCCCUGUGUACACUGCUCUCAGCUCUGGUUGUGCUCCUGUGUUCUUCCCCAGAGUGUAAAGGAGAAGACACAGUGACCCAGACACAAGGAGACGCCUCUGUCCCUCAGGGACACACAGCCACAAUACAGUGCACUUUUAAAACAACUUCCAACACUGUAUACCUGUUCUGGUACAAACAAGAAGGACGAGGAGCUCCAAAAUACAUGAUGAAGAAAACUAAAGCAGGAUCAGAAUGGUUUUCAACAACAAAAUCUCACGAGUUUAAUGAAAACCGAUUUGAAGUUAAGGCGGUGAAGGACUCUUUCUCUCUGAAGAUCCAGGAUGUGGAUGUGACAGACUCUGCUGUGUACUACUGUGCUCUGCAGCCCACAGUGACAGGAAACACCAAAACUCUGAACAAAAACCUCUGGAGCAAAGACAACACAAUCCUGCAGUAGCUCCACUAGAGGGAGACACUCUCUGUGAAGCUUCAGACUAAACACAGACGCAGCAAAGCCAACUGUCAGUGUGAGAAUCUAAGCAGACUUCAGAAAGUUCACAUGAGGAUCACUCAGCUGUGUUUU